CCGAGUUUACAACUCCCAAACCCCUGUGAACAUACCACUUGUUGCCUCGGCGGAUCAGCCCGCUCCCGGUAAAACGGGACGGCCCGCCAGAGGACCCCCAAACUCUGUUUCUAUAUGUAACUUCUGAGUAAAACCAUAAAUAAAUCA
rnacentral:misc_RNA from 1 species